rnacentral:rRNA from 1 species
AUGAGCAAGGGUUCCUCGGCACUGUCAAUCAGCCGAGGGUCAGCCGGUCCUAAGUGACGCCGUAACACGACCGUCACGAACGGGAAACUGGUUAACAUUCCAGUGCCAUCAUGCACCGAAAUCGACGCUGUGGUGAACAGAGAGAGGGGCAGUCGCCCCGUCCAAGUGGGGACCAUCGUGGACGCCGUCAUGGCAGGAAGCGAUCGAAGCCCACGAGUGCGCAAGUCUCUGCUACCCAGAGCCCGUGAAAAGAGAGCGUGAUGUCCGUACCCAGAUCCGACACAGGUGCUCAGGCGGCGAAAGCCACGGCCCGUCGGGACCAACCGGCGUUAGGGAAUUCGGCACGUUAGUCCCGUACCUUCGGAAGAAGGGAUGCCUGCUCGGCGACGAGCAGGUCGCAGUGACUCGGGCGCUCCGACUGUCUAAUAACAACAUAGGUGACCGCAAAUCCGCAAGGACUCGUACGGUCACUGAAUCCUGCCCAGUGCGGGUAUCUGAACACCGCGUACAAGCGGACGAAGGACCCGUCAACGGCGGGGGUAACUAUGACCCUCUUAAGGUAGCGUAGUACCUUGCCGCUUCAGUAGCGGCUUGCAUGAAUGGAUCAACGAGAGCGCCACUGUCCCAACGCUGGGCCCGGUGAACUGUACAUUCCAGUGCGGAGUCUGGAGUCCCCCAGGGGGAAGCGAAGACCCUAUAGAGCUUUACUGCAGGCUGUCGCUGGGACAUGGCCGCUGAUGUGCAGGAUAGGUAGGAGACGCUACACAGGUGUCUGCGCCAGCAGAUCGCCGAGUCGCCCGUGAAAUACUACCCGUCAGUGACUGUGACCCUCACUCCGGCAGGAGGACACCGGUAGCCGGGCAGUUUGACUGGGGCGGUACGCGCUCGAAAAGAUAUCGAGCGCGCCCAAAGGUCUCCUCAAGCGAGUCGGAAACUCGCUGGAGAGUGCAAGAGCACACGGAGGCCUGACAGUGACGUGCACAACAAGCGUCGCUGACGCGAAAGCGUGGUCUAGCGAACCAACGAGGCCCAUUCUUGGGGCCCGUUGAUGACAGAAAAGCUACCUUAGGGAUAACAGAGUCGUCACCGGCAAGAGCACAUAUCGACCCGGUGGCUUGCUACCUCGAUGUCGGUUCCCUCCAUCCUGCCCGUGCAGACGCGGGCAAGGGUGAGGUUGUUCGCCUAUUAAAGGAGGUCGUGAGCUGGGUUUAGACCGUCGUGAGACAGGUCGGCUGCUAUCUACUGGGGGUGUUGAGACCUGACAGGAACGUCCGCAUAGUACGAGAGGAACUGCGGGUGGGUGCCACUGGUGUAUCGGUUGUCCGACAGGGCAGUCGCCGAGCAGCUACGCACCACGGGGUAAGAGCUGAACGCAUCUAAGCUCGAAACCCACCUGAAAACGAGGUCUCCGUCGGACGCUCGUCUAAGACGAGACAGAUAGACUCGGGGUGUACGCACCAAGGCAACGAGGUGUUGAGCCCGCGAGCACUACCGAUCCGAGCCACAGUC